CUCGGCCACUAGGGCCUUCAGGCUGCAGGGAAGCCAGCCGCCGGGGCUGCGGGAACUCCCUCGAUUUCCUGUCCCUCCGAACGCGAUUAUUAUGAGUCUCAUGAGGGCAGAGACUAUGUGUUUCAGUCAUCACUGGACUCCAGCCCCUGACACGAAGAUUCUGUCAAUAAACGAUUCGUUGAAUGAAUGAAUAAGGAAGGUACCUGGGUGUUCAGCUAGCUGCUGUACGAGAACAGCUCCUCCAUGGCACCCAGGCAGCCUCACACUAUCUACAGAGGUCCUG